rnacentral:rRNA from 1 species
CGUUAGCGGCGACGGGUGAGUAACACGUGGGUAACCUACCUAUAAGACUGGGACAACUUCGGGAAACCGGAGCUAAUACCGGAUAAGAUAUCGAACCGCAUGGUUCGAUAGUGAAAGANGGUUUUGCUAUCACUUAUAGAUGGACCCGCGCCGUAUUAGCUAGUUGGUGAGGUAACGGCUCACCAAGGCAACGAUACGUAGCCGACCUGAGAGGGUGGUCGGCCACACUGGAACUGAGACACGGUCCAGACUCCUACGGGAGGCAGCAGAC